rnacentral:rRNA from 1 species
AACGAACGCUGGCGGCAUGCCUAACACAUGCAAGUCGAACGAGACCUUCGGGUCUAGUGGCGCACGGGUGCGUAACGCGUGGGAACCUGCCCUUAGGUUCGGAAUCACUCCCCGAAAGGGGUGCUAAUACCGGAUAAUGUCUUCGGACCAAAGAUUUAUCGCCUUUGGAUGGGCCCGCGUUGGUUUAGCUAGUUGGUAGGGUAAAAGCCUACCAAGGCGACGAUCCAUAGCUGGUCUGAGAGGAUGAUCAGCCACACUGGGACUGAGACACGGCCCAGACUCCUACGGGAGGCAGCAGUGGGGAAUAUUGGACAAUGGGCGAAAGCCUGAUCCAGCAAUGCCGCGUGAGUGAUGAAGGCCGUAGGGUUGUAAAGCUCUUUUACCCGGGAUGAUAAUGACAGUACCGGGAGAAUAAGCUCCGGCUAACUCCGUG